CGUACAUACUAGGAAGGACCAGUGAAAUCCAGUUUUAUUUUUGGAUACCAGAUUUAAGAUUUAACGACAUCGAAGUAAGGAUGGACCGCCCUGAGACCUGGGUCACACACUUCUGCCCCAAACCAUCUCAAGCAUAAAGGAAAGAGAAGGCCAUGGGCAACUCGGACCAAGUGUGGUUCCUCCAAAUUGAGUCCCACAGGAGGAAGCGCCUCCCAGAGCCAACCCGGAGCUGCCGCCCGGACAAAGACACCCUUCCUUUCUAGCGUUCUAUGGAUCCUUAAGCAAAAAGAUCAACACGGUUUCUCAGGUCAUAAUUGAUUCAGCUUAUAACCCUGGAUGAGGCCGAGGAGGUGACUCAGAGUGUAAAUGCUUUCCUGAGAAAGCAUGAGAAGAGGAGUUAAGAAGCCUGGACCCCACUACCCUUUGCCACCCAGAAAAGGUGAGGUACUGAGGCAUGAGCCUCUAACCCAGGUGGGAGAUGCCCAGGCAGAUGCCCGGAAGCUCUUCGCCCAGCUAGCCUGGCCUUUACGGUGGCAUGUCCAAGCCCACGAGAGAUCCUGGAAAAUGCUUGAGGACCAACCAAAGUUGACCUUCAGUCCUCCACAAGCAUGCCAUGAGUAUGUG